UUACACAUGCAAGUCGAACGGCAGCAUGAUCUAGCUUGCUAGAUUGAUGGCGAGUGGCGAACGGGUGAGUAAUACAUCGGAACGUGCCCUGUAGUGGGGGAUAACUAGUCGAAAGAUUAGCUAAUACCGCAUACGACCUGAGGGUGAAAGUGGGGGACCGCAAGGCCUCAUGCUAUAGGAGCGGCCGAUGUCUGAUUAGCUAGUUGGUGAGGUAAAGGCUCACCAAGGCGACGAUCAGUAGCUGGUCUGAGAGGACGAUCAGCCACACUGGGACUGAGACACGGCCCAGACUCCUACGGGAGGCAGCAGUGGGGAAUUUUGGACAAUGGGGGCAACCCUGAUCCAGCAAUGCCGCGUGUGUGAAGAAGGCCUUCGGGUUGUAAAGCACUUUUGUCCGGAAAGAAAUCGCACUUACUAAUAUUAGGUGUGGAUGACGGUACCGGAAGAGUAAGGACCGGCUAACUACGUGCCAGCGGCCGCGGUAAUACGUAGGGUCCAAGCGUUAAUCGGAAUUACUGGGCGUAAAGCGUGCGCAGGCGGUUGUGCAAGACCGAUGUGAAAUCCCCGGGCUUAACCUGGGAAUUGCAUUGGUGACUGCACGGCUAGAGUGUGUCAGAGGGGGGUAGAAUUCCACGUGUAGCAGUGAAAUGCGUAGAGAUGUGGAGGAAUACCGAUGGCGAACGCAGCCCCCUGGGAUNACACUGACGCUCAUGCACGAAAGCGUGGGNAGCAAACAGGAUUAGAUACCUGGUAGUGCACGCCCUAAACGAUGUCAACUAGUUGUUGGGGAUUCAUUUCCUUAGUAACGUAGCUAACGCGUGAAGUUGACCGCCUGGGGAGUACGGUCGCAAGAUUAAAACUCAAAGGAAUUGACGGGGACCCGCACAAGCGGUGGAUGAUGUGGAUUAAUUCGAUGCAACGCGAAAAACCUUACCUACCCUUGACAUGCCACUAACGAAGCAGAGAUGCAUUAGGUGCUCGAAAGAGAAAGUGGACACAGGUGCUGCAUGGCUGUCGUCAGCUCGUGUCGUGAGAUGUUGGGUUAAGUCCCGCAACGAGCGCAACCCUUGUCUCUAGUUGCUACGAAAGGGCACUCUAGAGAGACUGCCGGUGACAAACCGGAGGAAGGUGGGGAUGACGUCAAGUCCUCAUGGCCCUUAUGGGUAGGGCUUCACACGUCAUACAAUGGUGCAUACAGAGGGUUGCCAAGCCGCGAGGUGGAGCUAAUCCCAGAAAAUGCAUCGUAGUCCGGAUCGUAGUCUGCAACUCGACUACGUGAAGCUGGAAUCGCUAGUAAUCGCGGAUCAGCAUGCCGCGGUGAAUACGUUCCCGGGUCUUGUACACACCGCCCGUCACACCAUGGGAGUGGGUUUUGCCAGAAGUAGUUAGCCUAACCGCAAGGGGGGCGAUUACCACGGCAGGGUUCAUGACUGGGGUGAA
rnacentral:rRNA from 1 species